GGUUUGGUGGUCUAGUAGUAUGAUUCACCCUUAGGGAUGUCACAGACGACAUUUGGGUGAGGUCCCGGGUUCAAUUCCCGGCCAGACCC
rnacentral:tRNA from 1 species